rnacentral:rRNA from 1 species
AAUAUUGGACAAUGGGCGAAAGCCUGAUCCAGCCAUGCCGCGUGAGUGAAGAAGGCCNNNGGGUUNUCAAGCUCUUUUGUUGGNAACNAAAAGCAGCCGGUUAAUACCCGGUUGUUCUGACGGUAGCCAAAGAAUAAGCACCGGCUAACUUCGUUCGAGCAGCCGCAGUAGUACGAAGGGUGCAAGCGUUACUCGGAAUUACUGGGCGUAAAGCGUGCGUAGGUGGUUCGUUAAGUCUGAUGUGAAAGCCCUGGGCUCAACCUGGGAAUUGCACUGGAUACUGGCGGGCUGGAGUACGGUAGAGGGUGGCGGAAUUCCUGGUGUAGCAGUGAAAUGCGUAGAUAUCAGGAGGAACAUCCGUGGCGAAGGCGGCCACCUGGACCAGUACUGACACUGAGGCACGAAAGCGUGGGGAGCAAACAGG